AGACUAGAACGUUGAUAGGCAGGGUGUGUAAGUGCUGUGAGGCAUUGAGCUAACCUGUACUAAUUGCCCGUGAGGCUUAACCAUACAACACCCAAGGGGUUU
rnacentral:rRNA from 1 species